GACGAACGCUGGCGGCGUGGAUUAGGCAUGCAAGUCGGACGGUAGGGCUUUAUCGUAAGAUAGAGUUUGAGAGUGGCGAACGGGUGAGUAACACGUAGGAAUCUACCCUUAAGACGGGGACAACCCAGGGAAACUUGGGCUAAUACCGGAUGAGAGUGCGAGAGAUUGCAUUUAAAAGGAUGGCGAAAGUUGUCGCUUAGGGAUGAGCCUGCGGUCUAUUAGUUAGUUGGUGAGGUAAGAGCUCACCAAGGCGAUGAUAGAUAGGCGGCCUUAACGGGUGGUCGCCCACACUGGGGAUUGAGAUACGGCCCAGACUCCUACGGGAGCAGCAGUCGAGAAUAGUCUACAAUGGCCGGAAGGCUGAUAGUGCGACGCCGCGUGAACGAGGGGAGCCCUUCGGGGUGUAAAGUUCUUUUCUAUUACGAGCAGUGCUAUAUAUAUGGAUAGUAUAUAUAGAGGGAUAGUAGUAUAGGAAUAAGCAACGGCUAAACUCGUGCCAGC
rnacentral:rRNA from 1 species